GGUCCCGGCGCCGCGGUGCUUCGAGGGAGCGCGUCUCGUUAUGCUCGAGCAGCCGUAUGCUGUAGCUGAGGUACAAGAACAGGGAAAAGUAUGAAAUACAUCAGCUGUUCGUGGUGGGGAAGCUAUUGGUCUUUUGUCUUGAAGUCUCCAGCCUGGUGUUUGAUCCACUGCUGUGUGCUAUUCCACAACACUCAAGGAGGUACUCUUACUCUGCCUGAAGAAGAGUUUGGAAAGAUUUGAAAUAUACCCCUAGAAGACUAGAUAUAUAACUGCCUAUUCCCAGAUCUGCUAGUACAAUCUUGUUUCCCACCAUCCUUCAUGUUUAAAUGAAGAACAGCAACUGCAUACCUUGCAGUCAGUGAUUUAUUUUGUUCUCUGUAAGUACAGACUAAGCUUUACUGAUGAUAUUUAUCAGAUAAUUGCUCAGUGCAUAUUGUCUGGGUUCUGCAAGCUGUUAUUUGUGAAGAGAAGCCUGGAGGGUGUACUGCAGAGAGACCACUGUAUGUGCCGUGCUCUUCCCCAAACAUCUUCUGUUGGCCACUGCCUUACUGCUUUCCCUAAGAAAGCUUUUCUCAUAUUGAAGAAAAUAAACUUGGAGAAUUUAUGUGUCCAUAUGGAAAAAGAGCAAAGCUGAUGGAAAAGAUCAUAAAUUUAAACCAUGCAUGACAAGUGGAGCAUUGUGGAACAAUCUGAAUAAUGCCCAUGAUUUCAUGAAAAUGUUAAGAAAUUUGUGUAUAUUGACCUGAGGACACAAAGGAACAGAACAGGUGCUAGAACUGAUCCCUUCUCAUGUGCAUCAAGCUUCAUCCUUUUGUAUUACAUCCUAACUAUCACUAGAGUCUUUUAAGGUAGAUCUGUCAGCUAACCCCAUUAUGACCAUUUUUCCACUCUUACCUUUUCUUUAAGAAAUUAAAGUAGCAGAAACCAUACAGUGGUAAUGCUCGUAUAAAUCCAAAGUAGCAAGUAAUGAAAGAGGUGGAAAACAUCGAGAUUCCAUAGUAUUCUGUUUCUUUACAAUAUUUUUAGCUCUGUGUUAAGAAAUUCUUGUUUCUACUAAAGUAUCCUUUCACAUUUCUUAAAGAUGCUGUCAUAUAGUUUACUAUGAGUCAAGGUUUGUCUGUGGAAUCAGCAUGGUACAGAUGGUGUUAUAUUGAUGUUUUAGCUAUCACUUUAUCACUUUGUUUUAUUAUAUAGGUCCUCCUGCAUCCUUAUAAAGUCCUAAAUAAAACAAAGUCGAAGCUCUGA